AGUGAACGCUGGCGGUAGGCCUAACACAUGCAAGUCGAACGGCAGCACAGGAGAGCUUGCUCUCUGGGUGGCGAGUGGCGGACGGGGGAGGAAUACAUCGGAAUCUACUCUGUCGUGGGGGAUAACGUAGGGAAACUUACGCUAAUACCGCAUACGACCUACGGGUGAAAGCAGGGGAUCUUCGGACCUUGCGCGAUUGAAUGAGCCGAUGUCGGAUUAGCUAGUUGGCGGGGUAAAGGCCCACCAAGGCGACGAUCCGUAGCUGGUCUGAGAGGAUGAUCAGCCAAACUGGAACUGAGACACGGUCCAGACUCCUACGGGAGGCAGCAGUGGGGAAUAUUGGACAAUGGGCGCAAGCCUGAUCCAGCCAUACCGCGUGGGUGAAGAAGGCCUUCGGGUUGUAAAGCCCUUUUGUUGGGAAAGAAAUCCAGCUGGCUAAUACCCGGUUGGGAUGACGGUACCCAAAGAAUAAGCACCGGCUAACUUCGUGCCAGCAGCCGCAGUAA
rnacentral:rRNA from 1 species